rnacentral:lncRNA from 1 species
CUCAGAGCUAUUGCUGAUGGACUAAAAAGUAAUGUGAGCUUGGGAAAAGUCAUAUAAAUAGCCUUAUAAGUGUGUUUCAAGUCUAUUAGCUUUUUGAAAUCAUAUAGGAGUAAACACAAAUUAUACUCCCUUUUCUGUGUUUGUCCUGCUCUCCCCACUAGGAAAAUUUGUCACAGUUCAAUAUUUAUGAAAUUAAAAUGUUGAAAAGUGAAAGUGGAAGGAGAGAGAAAGAGAGAGACGAGAGAGAAGGAGGUAAAGGACAGAAAGGCUUUAAGAGGAAAGGAGAGGCUGUCCAGUUUUCCCAGCACCCUCAUGGCUCAAUGGAUAUGAAUGUGACUGGUAACCAUGAGGAUGUGGGUUUGAUUCCUGGCCUUCCUCGGUGGAAUAAGGAUCUGGUAUUGCUGUGAGCUGUGGUGUGGGUUACAGAUGUGGCUCGGCUCUGACUUUGCUGUGGUUGUGGCACAGGCCAGUGGCUACAGCUCCGAUUUGACCCCUAGCCUGGAAACUUCCUUAUGCUGAGGGAAAAAAAAAGUGGCAAGGAGAGAAAAGAAAAAGAAAUGAGAAUUGGAAGAAUAGUGGGACAGUCUCUGUGCCAAUGUGAGGUUAGAAAAGCAGACUAGAGGAUAAAUAAAUAGGAGAAGAGGAGAAUGAUGGAGUGUGUAGGGUGGAACUAGUUCCUUCAUUUCAGUCUUUGACAUCAAGCUGUGGUCCCAUCUACCUAGUGCCUCUGUCUCUAGAAUCCCAGGACACUUGGUUCUGUUCUCUGUUCCCAGUAUGUUGCAUGUGUAUCCUCCUCUUUUGGCAUUUUUGAUUGGUACCCCUUUCUUAAUAUUUCAGGCCUUGAGUUUCUUCUAUAUCAAGGACUGAGCUCCCCUGGACAUUCCUCUCCCUGCCUCAGAUGGCAAACUUUCCUUAGUACAGACUCAGACCUACGUAGCUCUGAUAUUCAGCUUGCUUGUCUUCCCGGGGAAGCUGAUUCUCCUGAUGUCAUACAUUUCCCAUUUGCCUCAAAUUUCAGUCCUCUGGCUAGUAUGGCUUUCACUUUGUUCUGGGGUGGACCUUUUGGAAGGGUUUCUCUGAUGCCUUACAGGUUCCUUGGAAAACAGGCCUCCUUGAUCGCCAGAUUAAUAGAGGGCUUGGCUUCUUGUGAUCACAGAUCAGGCUUCUGGUUCUUUCUCUCUGGCUUGCUUCAUCUGAUUGUCAUCACACUUGUCCUUACUAUAGCCCUGUCUACAAUUACAAUUAGCCUCAUGAAGAGUUGAAAACAUCUGGUUCUAUCCCUGAGAGACUAACGUCCCCUCUAGUUAUUCCAUCCACUGGAUGGGUGUCACCUUGAUAGGUGGCAGUAACUAUGGAAUGAGCGGACAGUCUUUACGGAAUGCCAUGCUUUCCAAGGGGCUGGUGUCCAUCAAGGCAGUCUUAGCCAGAUAAGAGCUGGAUGAAGGUCGGAAAGGGCAAGGUGUAUCUGUUCAAAUGACUAAUAUAUAUGAUUCACUGGUAAUUAGCACUGUUGAUUCAAUUUGUAAGAUUUUUACAAUACUACAGAUUGUUUUAUUUAUGAAAAAUUUCAGAGUUUGACUAAAUACGUGGUGUGAACUAACUGUGCUCAGAAGGUCCUAGUCAUAUAGCACAGUAGCACAGAAGCACUUCCUCUUGGGUAGAACUGCUAAGGUUGUAUAGAACUUCAUGACCCAAUUCCAGUGCCAGCUGUGAAGAAUACAUUUUUUUCCUGCCUUUUCCAGUUGGACAACCUUAUAGUUCAGAUCGCUUUGGAUUCUGGCAAAUACUUAAAAAAAUCUUCAUUCUUCAAGACAAAAGCUGCCUGCCUUGUAUUUUUGGUCUGCCUGAGAGAAGUUGAGGUGAGGUAAGAUCCAGGGACGUUUCCUCUGAACAGAGAGCUGGACAUUUAUCCUUGACAUUUCCAGCUGAGUGUGCAAACAUCUAGCCAGGCCAGUGAGGGCAGUUGAUGUUUUUUCUCCAGAAUUGCAUAACUGGCCCACAUGGAGUCAUCAAGAGCUUCUUCCUACUUCUUCCUGGCCCUCUCCAUGCCUUUUGUUUUUGCUUCCUCUAGCUGUCUGGCCUCUGACACUUUCUAACAUACUAUAUUCUCUCAUGAAUACUUCUCUCUCAUGGUAGUCUUUUUGAUUUUGUAAGCAUGACUUAUCGUGAAACUUCAUGACUGUGGGUCUCUAGUUUCUUUUGGUCCUGGGCCAACACUUUUCUUUUGAAAGGAUCUUCUUGUGUAAAUACAUUAAAACUGCUGAAGGCAUCCUCCCCACAUUGACAUGUUGAAGACAGAAGGCUGUUGGCUUCCUGCCCACAAGAUUGCUAUGGAUGUUGAACCACAAUGGCAGAGACUGGGCAUAUCAGUUGGGUGGAUUAUGUUGGAUACAUCUCAUAAAAGGCAAAAAGCAGAAGACCAGGAUGGGAUCAAGGAAUAGAAAGUCAGGAUGUGCUUUACAGAUCUUGUUUUUUUUGGGGGGGAGAGGAAAAAAUAUGACCAUGUUGGCUAGAAAAUUAAAAGCUCUACUAUUGGUAAAGUUAUCCAAGUAGGCAACUGAUAAGAAUACACCCAAUGUUUCACAUUCUUGAGAAUACAAUCUGAGUUACAGUUAUCAUCAGACUUUGGGAUUUUUGAAAAUACUUGUGGGGCUCACAUUUUGAAAACAUACCAGUUGAUCUGCUCCUUCCUCUAGCUCCUUUCAAAAUUUGGUUUGCUAAUAUCUGCUUUCUAAAUCAUCAGCUAGCAUGCAUGUGAAAACAUAGGGUUUUAAAGAACAUAAGCAUGUAUUCAAUCACCAAAACUACAAAUACAGCUACUAAGUGCCAUAUUAUAACAUUAGCUGGUGCUACUGUUGUGUGGCAUCUUUAAUUUCUAAAAAAGUGAGUUAAAAUAAGUUUAAAAAUUGGAGAAUUUUGUCUGAUGUUUGAUUUGUAUGACUAGGUUAUAAAUUCAUACUUGAAAACAGUAAUAUUGAGGUAUAAAAAUAUUGGAAAUAUGAAGUCAAAACUGAACUACAAAUGCUAAAUUUGAAGUCCAGGUUACAUGGAUGGUAGAUAGGACAAGGAGACAUUCAGGAACCCACACAUGCCAUGAAUGACUGAUUGUUAUGUUGCUUCUAAAAUGCAAGUGAAGAGUUCCCAGUGUGGUGCAAUGGUAUUGGUGGUGUCUCUGCAGUGCCAGGAUGCAGGUUCGAUCCCUGGCCUGGCACAGUGGGUUAAAGGAUCUGGUGUUGCCACAGCUGAAGCGUAGGUUGGAUCUGAUCCCUGGCCUGGGAACUCCAAAUGCCUUAGGGCAGCCAAAAAUGGGGAAAAAAAAAGACACAUUAAAAACAAAUAAAAUGCGUGUGAGCUGAUGAUGAAAAUUUCACUCUUUUUUUUUUUCUUAAGUUGUGUCAGUGCUUUCCCAUUAUCCUUUGAAGUAUGGAAAUAAUAUUGGCUCCUAAAACACAUUUUAUUAAGACAAGUUGCAGCUCUUGGGUAUGCUUAUGUGUAUUUACCACAUUAAAUUCAUGUUUAUAUUGUCUUUGUAUCUCAGGAAUAUGUUUCAGUUAUCUGUAUUACCUGUGAUUCACUUGUGUUGCCCAAAUGUCAAAUGUGACUCCACAAUUGUAAAUUUCUGUGUAAUAGUUUGUAAACAAAGUAAGCAUACCUCGACAAGUCUCAGCAAUAACAACUAAAAUUGUAUAUUCACAGGCAACUCAUCACACUCCAACUGGACAAUUGCAUUUUUUACGAUGCAGGCAAUUUCAGAUAUGUUUAAAAUUGUGAAAAGCAUGCGAAUCAUGGAAUAUAUUCAGUGCAAGAAUUCUUUUCUCAUCACUCAUAGCCUUCCCCCAUCUCUUACCCAACUGGACUGAAUAAUAAAAUAAAACAAUGCACCAU